GACGAACGCUGGCGGCGCGCUUAAUACAUGCAAGUCGAGCGAGAACCGGGGCUUCGGCUCCGGGGACAGCGGCGAACGGGUGAGUAACACGUGGGUAACCUGCCCUCGGCACCGGGAUAGCCCGGGGAAACCCGGAUUAAUACCGGAUGGCCCUUUCAGUUUUCGGACCGGUCGGCAAAGGUAGCUUCGGCCUCCGGCCGAGGAUGGGCCCGCGGCGGAUUAGCUUGUUGGUGAGGUAACGGCUCACCAAGGCUCCGAUCCGUAGUUGGUCUGAGAGGACGAUCAGCCACACUGGGACUGAGACACGGCCCAGACUCCUACGGGAGGCAGCAGUAGGGAAUCUUGCGCAAUGGGCGAAAGCCUGACGCAGCGACGCCGCGUGCGGGAAGACGGCCCUCGGGUUGUAAACCGCUUUCAGGAGGGACGAAGCCACUCGGGUGAAUAGCCCAGAGGGUGACGGUACCUCCAGAAGAAGCCCCGGCUAACUACGUGCCAGCAGCCGCCGUAAGAC
rnacentral:rRNA from 1 species